ACCACACCCAGCCACCUUUUGCUUUAAACAGUUCAGCUUUCUCAUUUCAAGGUACUCUGCGUUGUUCCUCAAAGCCUUUCACAUCUGAAAUGCCCACAUUACUUGAAUCAAACCACAAAGGUGAACCACACAUGGUCCUUAUUAUCUAGGAUAUGAAACAUUGUCCCAUGGAGAAAAUAAUGUCCCAUGGAGAAAAUAUUGUCCCAUGGAGAAAACAACUUAUCAAACAAAAAUAACCAAAAAGGUCAGAAUAUAUUUUUCUUGUUUUUGUUUAAGCCCUUCUUCUUGCACACUGAAGAAUAUAAAGAAUUUAUUCAAGCACAAAGCAUAAGGAUUGAACACCUGGAAAUACCAAUUCCAAAGUGAUAGAGAUAGCAUUCUGAAAUAGGGAAGUUCAGAUUUCGUUUAUAAAGUUAGAGGAGCUUUUAGCAAGGCUCUGCACAACUUCAGGGGAGAAUAGCUGAAGGCAACUGUUCUCUAACCUUGAGGCAGAGGGUAAGGAGCAAGUGCAAGGGAGCAAGGGGAAAUUAUCUUGAUCAGGCUUGUUUGAAGUUAUCCUGGAAUUGACCUUUGAACAUCCGUGUGUGCGUGUGUGCGUGACAUUCCCUGAAAGGGGAACAAUAAAUAUUAAUUACCCACAGAUUGUGUUUGCCCCAGGCUUUCGGCAUUCUGCCUGCACUGAAUAAAAGCAAGCAGCUCCAGCUUCUCGGGGCUGCACUUUGGCCACUUGAGCCAGGCAGUCUCCUAGCUGCUCUUACACACUGCAUAGCUGUGUGUGAGUACUCUUUUCAUCCAUCAGUCAGCCAGGGUCUGCAGGACAGAUCCGGCAAGUGGUGCCCUGUAUGAGGAAUGCUGCAACGGAUCUGGACUGAACCCUCAAAAAUAAAGUGACUGCUCAGUAAGUAAUUGGUCCCCACUGGGGAUUUCUAAGUUCGAGGGGAUUUUCAAGCUAGGGUUUCAUCAUGGGACAACAGUUAUAAGCUCAACAGCAACAGUAGAUAAAAGUAUUGAAACAGCUGCUUAAAGCUAGUGGAGACUUGGUUUCGGAGGCUCAAUUAAGGGAUGUAAUGCAAACUGUUGUAUUCCAUAACCCAUGGUUCCCAGAAGAAGGCACACUAGACCUAGGGCUCUGGGAGCAAUUGGGAAGAAAUCUUAAACAACAUUAUGUACAAGGGCAACAGGUCCCAGUAACAUCUUUAAUGUUAUGGGCUUUAGUUAGGGCUGCUUUGGCCCUGCUCUACACAGAAGAGCCUAAAAAAGGAGGGGAGGAAGAACCAUCAUCUACCUUACUGCCUCCUCCUCCUCCCUCAGCCCCGCCAUUACCCGGGUAAAGAUACCAAAGAGGAGACGGAGGAUUUUCCUAAUUCCCCUCCCCCAAUAAAUCGGGAAGAAGACAAGAGAUAUACUACAGUUAUGGGACCCUGUCUUAGGCAAGCAGCAUUAGAAGGGGAGCUCCUGGCUUGUCCUGUGAUGGAAGAUCAACAGGCCAAUUGGGUACAUGAGCCUAUUACUUUCAACACUUUUAAGGAAAUCAGGAAAAGCAUUAGAGAAAAUGGACCUGCUAGCCCAUUCACAAGAGGAUUAAUUGAGGUCAUAGCAGAUAACUACCAUAUUGACUCCAUGGGACUGGUCAGUGCUAGCUAAAACAACUUUAGAGGCCCAUCAAUACCUCCUCUAGAGGGCAGAAUAUAAUGAAUUGUGCAAACAACAGGCUAACCAGAAUCAAUUGGCAGGACAGAACAUCAGCUGCUAUGCUCCAGGGGAGGGGUCCCUAUGUUAAUGUACAACAACAAUUAAAUUUUGUCCCUCAAGCCUAUGCGCUACUGUCUUUGUGCACUCACAGGGCCUGGGACCAAAUUCCCGAAGGUAGAGUUCAACAGGGAUCUUUUAUAAAUGUUCCACAAGGUCGUUAGGAGCCAUUUGUUGAAUUUAUCUAUCAGUUAACCCAGGCAAUUAAGAGACAAAUUAGUCAUGCCAAGACCGCUGAUAUCUUAUUGUUGCAAUUGGCCCAUGAAAAUGUUAAUGUGGAUUGCCAGCAAGCAAUGCAAGCAGUCACAGGGAAAGCAGCUACAGUAGGGGAACUCAUACGAGCAUGUCAGCUGGUGGGGACUGAAACACACAAAGCCAGAAUAUUGGCUAUGGCAUUAAAGCCUCCAAAAGUAAAAAGGGAUAAAAAUCCAAAUUGUUUUCAGUGAGGAAAGCCAGGUCAUAUGAAGCGGGAAUGCCCCAAUAGUAAAGACCAAAGUAACUCAGGAAAAGAACCCCUUUCUAUAUAAGGACAAGCCAUAAAACAGAAAAGGGGGAAUAUGAGUAAGGACCCUGCAACACUACUAGCACAAGGCUUAUUUACCCUUAACUUCCUAAAUUUAAACGAUAAAUUUCAAUCAGCCAUAGAAAAGCACUUUGCAAAAACCUUUCAAAACAUAAAACCUUUACUUUUUAUGGAAAGAUGUAAAUAGUAAGCUAUGGUGAGGUCCAAAUGAUUUGUUAACGUGGGGAAGAGGAUAUGCUUGUGUUCACACCCCCUCAGGUCCUCUUUGGAUUUCUGCGCGACAUAUGAAACCAUACCAUGGCAUGGCUGGAACCCAACCCGGUACCAAAAAUAAAGGAAAUGACCCUGCAGGACCUGCAGCCCCAAAACGAUGCGGCUUCCUCGGACGACACAGGCCCCGGACAUUAUGCUGAAGAAGACAACUCAGGAAGCUGAGCAAAUCCUGCUCCAGACACAAACACCAUUCACUCCAGAUAAUCUGUUCCUUGCUAUGCCCUCCGUUGUACAUUGCAACACUCGCAGGGUAUUGGUUUUUCUUAUUCUCUCACUCUGCCUGCAACUCGUACCUGCUACACUCUAUUAGGCCCAUCUUCUAGAUCCACCUUUCUUCCGCCCUGUUACUUGGGCAGACACCCCCUUCCCAGCUUCUACCAAUGUGACUGCUUGGGUAGGAGGGAUAAACAUACCCCUGGUGGGGUUCCUCAGUAACAGCCCUAUAGAACAAUGUGCAAAAUCACCUCUCCUGGAUAGACCCCCACUCCUGUGGGUCACUCUUUGAUUGGAAAUGAAUAUUACUGAUUAUACUCACGCUUGUCUUAUGUUACCUACUGCUUCUGGGAUGCAAAGCUGGAACACAAGCUGUAACCGCUGCACCUGUCAAGCUUGUCACUGCACACAUCUGUAUUCUUCAAUCAACAAAACCUGAUGCAAAAACAGAAAAGGGGGAGAUGUAGGAGAUCAGUCAGAGUGGUGAGAGAAACUGUAAGGAAAGGAGCAGGCCUUCUGAAGGGUCAGAAGGCUCUGCAUAGCUUCGGGGAAGAAUAGCUAAAGGCAGCUGUUCUCUAACCCUGAAGCAGAGGGUGAGGAGUAUGUGCAAGGGGGUGAAGGUGAAAUUAUCUUGAUCAGGUUUGUUCGUUUGAAGUUGUCCAGGAAUUGAACUUUGAACAUCCGUGUGACUGACGUCCCCUGAAAGGGGAACAAUAUGUUAAUUACCCACAGAUUGUGUUUGCUCCAGGCUUUCGGCAUUCUGCCUGCACUGAAUAAAAGCAAGCAGCUCCAGCUUCUGGGGGCUGCACUUUGGCCACUUGAUCCAGGCAGUCCCCUAGCUGCUACACUGCAUACCUGUGUUAUCAAGAACAAAAUGGGGGCUUCUGCACAGCAACUUCAGAAGAUAAGCAGAUUUUCUGGAAAUGGAUUUAGAGCAAGAGAGGAUAUCUAAAAUCAAAGAUAUAUGACACUGCUGGGGCUCAGAAACUGAUAUCCCAAAAUAUUGCACUUUGACAUGCUGAACUGAAGAAGCUACAAGGUCUCUCUGACCUUCUCCCCACCCCUCCUGUCUCUCAAUCCUUUCCGUCUCCCAAAGCACAGGAUGAAGUUGUUUUCAGAAGUUCCUUAUCUGCCUAAAGUCCAAACCUGCCAAAGAAUACAAUUAUCUUUAGUCUCUACUCUGAGUUUUCAUUAAAUGAACUAAUAUCACAGGGAGAAACACAAGCCUGUCAACAAACCUAGAUAGAUUUUGUCACAAACCACUGUCUACUCUGCAGCCCUAACAGACAUUGUCCCAGGCCCUUGCAUGUUCUUCAAGCCCAUUGAAUUCCCCUACAAAUCAUUUAUUAUAUCCCUAAAAACACUUCUCAAGCUCCCAUUUCCCUAGGAAGUAGAAUAAACAUCUAUGUCCAAUUGCAGUAUUGGGUGAUCACUCUAUCCACCCCCCUCUGCAGUGUACACGUUAAUAAUUUCAUAUGCCUUUUAUUAAUUCUGGUCAUUAAUUUAACCUUUUUCUUCUUUGGGGCCCACGUUGAAACCUCUAUUUUCAACUUCUCUUCCAGUUAGGUGUGGCCUUUUAGCUAAGUUCCUGCCAAUGGAACAUAAACACAAGUAAAGAUUGACAUUUCCAGGCCUGGGACAUAAUAACUUUCCACGAAGGAUUUUUCCAUGUUCUUUCCCCUUGCAGGGCAAAUGUAGAAGCCACAUUUAGGAUGGCUAAGCCACAAAGACAGAGGGCAUCUAGGUUCCAGAACCACUGCUAGAAGAAAGAGGGACCUGCUGAUCUAGAAUACCCUUUUUGAACCUCAUAUCCGCAGAAAAUAAACUUGUAUUUAUCUUAACUAGUAUGCUCUGCACCAAAGAAGGGUCUAGAUUCUUAAUUUCUAAAAGGAAAUGCAUUCACUUGUUGCUGGAUGAAUCUUCAGGUCAAAACACUUCAUCUGUAAAAGAAACAUAAGAUUUCAUGGAGAGAAACAAAGCAAAAUGUGGACUUCUUAAGAGUUAACCAGAGGAGAGGAAGCUAUAUUCACAUCUAUCAGCAGUAGAACUUCUGUCCACAGCCUAGUGAUCUUUCAAAUGUGGAUGUGACCAUAAGGAUGAGGUAGUUUCAUUGGAUAUGUUGCCUCUUGGGUCCUCCAUUAGAAAAGCAUAAGGAGGGUUGGAUGCGGUGACUCACAUCUAUAAUUGCAGCACUUUGGGAUGCUGAGGCAGGAGGAUCACUUGAGCCCAGGAGUUCAAGACCAGCCUGGGUAA
rnacentral:lncRNA from 1 species